CUUGCUAAGGCCGAUGGCGACCGGCGCACGGGUGAGUAACACGUAUCCAACCUGCCCUUUACUCGGGGAUAGCCUUUCGAAAGAAAGAUUAAUACCCGAUGGGAUAAUUAUUCCGCAUGGUUUGAUUAUUAAAGGAUUCCGGUAAAGGAUGGGGAUGCGUUCCAUUAGGUUGUUGGUGAGGUAACGGCUCACCAAGCCUUCGAUGGAUAGGGGUUCUGAGAGGAAGGUCCCCCACAUUGGAACUGAGACACGGUCCAA
rnacentral:rRNA from 1 species